rnacentral:lncRNA from 1 species
UACAAAAUGGACUUUUGCUCAUAAUAGGCGUAAGGGUGAGUUUUAGAUUAGGGGAUUUAUACAGUUCGAAAGGGGAUGAUUUAAGGUCCAUUUCUACCAAUUUUCAUAAAUGCCAAUCGAUCAGGGGCGUUGCAUUAAGAAUUUAAAGACUUAGACCCAUAAACUUACAGAUACAAAAUGGACUUUUGCUCAUAUUAGGUGUAAGGGUGAGUUUUAGAUUAGGGGACUUAUACAGUUCGAAAGGGGAUGAUUUAAGGUCCAUUUCUACCAAUUUUCAUAAAUGCCAAUCGAUCAGGGGCGUUGCAUUAAGAAUUUAAAGACUUAGACCCAUAAACUUACAGAUACAAAAUGGACUUUUGCUCAUAUUAGGUGUAAGGGUGAGUUUUAGAUUAGGGGACUUAUACAGUUCGAAAGGGGAUGAUUUAAGGUCCAUUUCUACCAAUUUUCAUAAAUGCCAAUCGAUCAGGGGCGUUGCAUUAAGAAUUUAAAGACUUAGACCCAUAAACUUACAGAUACAAAAUGGACUUUUGCUCAUAUUAGGUGUAAGGGUGAGUUUUAGAUUAGGGGACUUAUACAGUUCGAAAGGGGAUGAUUUAAGGUCCAUUUCUACCAAUUUUCAUAAAUGCCAAUCGAUCAGGGGCGUUGCAUUAAGAAUUUAAAGACUUAGACCCAUAAACUUACAGAUACAAAAUGGACUUUUGCUCAUAUUAGGUGUAAGGGUGAGUUUUAGAUUAGGGGACUUAUACAGUUCGAAAGGGGAUGAUUUAAGGUCCAUUUCUACCAAUUUUCAUAAAUGCCAAUCGAUCAGGGGCGUUGCAUUAAGAAUUUAAAGACUUAG